GCAACUGGUGAAUUAGAAUUUUGAAGAAAAUUGUAGGCAAUUCAUCUAAGAUUUUACUGUAGUACUUAUCAAAGUACGUUGUUUGAAUUGUAGCAACUGGAACUUGGGAUGCCGAGGAGCACAUUUGGAUUAGGGUUCAGAGAGGGUCAAGUCAAAUAGAUGCAGAUAAAGGUUGAGCCAAGGUAAGAUAUACUUAAGAAUAUAAUUAUUUUUGUUACAGAAGUGUUGAGAUUUACAUCUAUUAACUCGCAUAAAAAGAAAUUAGCACGAAUUGUCACUGUUAAAAAAUAGGAACACUCAUCUCAAAUCAUCUGUCCAGAGCACUUCUUGAAGCUGUUAACCGAAUGGGCGUUCACUGCUGCUGUCGGAAGACCAUCCCAGGUAUUGAAGAACCUAUUGGGGAGGAAGUGUACUUUGCUGGUGGACCGAAACCUUUUCUUCGCCAUAAGAUAAUAUCAUGUUGAACAGGCUGUGAAGUGCUCUGUGUGUGGUUAUCAAGUCGCCCCUGAGACGACAGGUAGCAAAUGGAGGGAGACACAUUAUUGGAAACAGCUGCAAUAUAUUGAUCGUAAAUACAAAAAUGAAGAAAUGGGUAAAAACUUUAUGAAAGAUGCUGUGUUUGGGGUGGAGUGAAAAUAGCUCAUGCUAUAUAUCAGGAGACUAAACACCUCGUUAAGUUAUGGAUCUAAGUGAUUCAAAGAGAAAAAAGGAUCACAAAUAGAAGUAAAACCUUUCCAUGGUGUUGGUGAAAAAGAACAUAAAUUAAUCAUUAAGAAUGAGAUUAGUUGACUUAUCUCUAAUGGAACAUUCUAUAGGAGACAUUUAAAGAGACCACCUUAAGGGCAUGGGAUACGACCCAUUUCUGCAAGGGAACUUGCCAUCAUCAGGUAUUCUGAAAACAAAUUCUCCCAACAAAUUGUGAAGGAUCUGAAAAUUAAGCUAUAGCCUACCAGCGAAGGUCGACAACUGUGAUAACAUUUAAGUGAAGCAGACUUUUAUUUGAAGACUCGUUAGAUGAAAAGAACGAAGAAACUAAAGUUUUAGCUCUGAUUCCUUCAAAACGUUAAAUGAAAGCAACUGGAACUUAAGAGGAAUGCCUAGCAAUCUUUGUCAUCGCUGUUUAUUGAAUAGCAUUAGGAUUUUCGGAGUUUGGAGAGACUCAAGCCAAUUAAUGGAGAAAAAGUUCAAGCUAAGAUGCUGUGUUUGGGGUGGAGUGAAAAUAGCUCAUGCUAUAUAUCAGGAGGCUAAACACCUUGUAAAGUUAUGGACCUAAGUGAUUCAAAGAGAAAAAAGGAUCACACAUAGAAGUAAAACCUGUCCAAAAUUCCAUGGUGUUGGGGAAAAAGGAGAUAAAUUAAUCCUUAAGAAUGAGAUAAGUUAACUUGUCUCUAAUGGAACAUUCUAUAGAAGAUAUUUAAAGAUACCUCCUCUGGGCAUGGGUAACUGAUGCUUAUUUCCUAUAUAUUACUUAUCUUGUUCAGCCCAUAAGCAAGGUUUUUUUAUAUAUACAUCCAGAGUGAGGAUAUAUCUCGUUUUGAUCAAAAAUGGACUUAACUCCCUUUUCCCUGGCACCACAGAAUUGCUGUGCCUUAGAACAAAAAACUAAAUCAGAAUCAUUGACAGAAAAAUGUUAUUCGAUGAAGAAUGUUUUGAACUCAACAAAAAUUUGGAGUGUACAUUUAAAAUGAAGUCUAACAUGGAUCCAGAAACCAGUAGAGAAGUAUUUAUAAAUGAGAGAGUCUAUGAGAAUAGUUAUAGUAGCUAUUUGCUAUCGAUCACCAGCAUUAUUAACCUCAAUUUUUAAAUGUAUAAGUUCAUUUUCAUACCUGUGAGUAUACUAGAUUUUAUUCGAGUUCUUUCAUCUGGGAAAAUUUUUGUCACUGUUGUACCAUCAUGAAAUUCUGGGAGAACAGUAUUGAUAUUUUUUUUUAUAUUCAUCUGUAUCUGCGUAUAUUUUCAAGUCAUAAUCUCAGAUGAAAGAUCUAAAAGGAUCCAGCUAUGAUUUUGUAAAUGAAGGUCAAGGUUGUUAUCAUUUCCUUCCAAGAGCACUUCAAUAGAAAGUUAAGUCCUGUUAUGUAGUAUGAAAUUAUGGUUUGUGGAUGGAAGAUGCAAUAGAGAGAAUAGUUCAAGGAAAUUAGUAAAAAUUUUGUUAUUUCCAUUUGAAAUGAGUCAUUCUAACUGCCUAAAAUGUCAGGACUUUGUCAUUCCUAUAGAGAAACCGACAUAGCCUCUUUGUCACGCCAUCAAUGUAAAGUUACAGUUGAUUAUUUAGGAAAAUAUGACUCUAUUUUCAUCCACUGAAGUAUAUUCAAAAAUGAAACAACUUGUUUUUAUAGGCAAACCUUCAUUAUUCAAAGGAUUCAAAUAUUUUAUCAAUAAUUGAUAACUGAAUACCUUCAAUGAGCAAUCAUACAGUUUCUAAUCUUCCUUCAAUAGCGUCCAAGGGUUACUGAUUUCAAAUUUAAUCGAUCAUUAUCAAUAAUUGAUUCCAUAUUAAGGCACUAUUAAUUUAGUUACUGAAUAGAAUAAUUAUAUGCUCAAAUACUUAAAUUGUAUGUUACUUCCGAUCAAUGAAUAAAGGUGAUUUCUAUGUCUGAA